rnacentral:tRNA from 1 species
UUUUCUUUAGCUUAAACUAAAGCAUUAGUUUUGGAGGCUAAAGAUUAAGAAAAA